rnacentral:rRNA from 1 species
AGAACGAACGCUGGCGGCAGGCCUCAAACAUGCAAGUCUAGGGGGUGUAGCAAUACAUCACCGGCGGACGGGUGCGUAACACGUGGGAAUAUACCUUUUGGUUCGGAACAACGCAGGGAAACUUGCGCUAAUGCCGAAUGUGCCCUUACGGGGGAAAGAUUUAUCGCCAAAAGGAUUAGCCCGCGUCCGAUUAGCUAGUUGGUGAGGUAACGGCUCACCAAGGCUCCGAUCGGUAGCUGUUCUGAGAGGAAGAUCAGCCACACUGGGACUGAGACACGGCCCAGACUCCUACGGGAGGCAGCAGUUGGGAAUCUUGGACAAUGGGGGAAACCCUGAUCCAGCCAUGCCGCGUGAGUGAUGAAGGCCUUCGGGUUGUAAAACUCUUUCGACGGGGACAUAAUGACGGUACCCGUAGAAGAAGCUCCGGCUAACUUCGUGCCAGCAGCCGC